rnacentral:misc_RNA from 1 species
GUGGAAUUUAAUAGUGAUGUUCCGUUGUAGUGGCGUCAUACUCAUAAUCAUUUGGUUUUUGGACACAGAUCGCUAUUAUUGUUGUUUGUAGUUGAUAUUAUGGCAGUUCGUUGGUGGUUUUUUAUUUUUAUGUUUCACCAUUUUGAAAUUGAAAAUAUUCAAGAGUGAUGAUAGUAUACUCACUUUACACUUGUUUCCAUGUUGUU